CCUACGGGAGGCAGCAGUGAGGAAUAUUGGUCAAUGGGCGAGAGCCUGAACCAGCCAAGUCGCGUGAGGGAGUACUGCCCUAUGGGUUGUAAACCUCUUUUGUCGGGGAGCAAAAGCCGGACGUGUCCGGCUGUGAGAGUACCCGAAGAAAAAGCAUCGGCUAACUCCGUGCCAGCAGCCGCGGUAAUACGGAGGAUGCGAGCGUUUUCCGGAUUUAUUGGGUUUAAAGGGUGCGCAGGCGGAUUUUUAAGUCAGCGGUAAAAUCGUGGGGCUCAACCCCAUCCAGCCGUUGAAACUGGGGAUCUAGAGUGUGCGAGAGGUAUGCGGAAUGCGUGGUGUAGCGGUGAAAUGCAUAGAUAUCACGCAGAACCCCGAUUGCGAAGGCAGCAUACCGGUGCACAACUGACGCUCAGGCACGAAAGCGUGGGUAUCGAACAGGAUUAGAUACCCCAGUAGUC
rnacentral:rRNA from 1 species